rnacentral:rRNA from 1 species
ACCUUGUUACGACUUCACCCCAAUCACCGGCCAUACCUUCGAUGGCUGCCCCCCUUGCGGGUUAGCUCACCAACUUCGGGUACAACAGACUUUCGUGGUGUGACGGGCGGUGUGUACAAGGCCCGGGAACGUAUUCACCGCGGCGUAGUGAUCCGCGAUUACUAGCGAUUCCACGUUCACGGAGUCGAGUUGCAGACUCCGAUCCCAACUGAGACUACUUUUAGGGAUUGGCUCCACCUCACAGCUUCGCUCCCCUCUGUAGUAGCCAUUGUAGCACGUGUGUAGCCCUGGACAUAAGGGCCAUGAUGACUUGACGUCAUCCCCACCUUCCUCCAGCUUGUCGCUGGCAGUUUUCUCAGAGAGCCCUCUCAGGCAACAGAGACUAAGGGUUGCGCUCGUUCCGGGCCUUAACGAACACCUUACGCUACGAGCUGCCCC